rnacentral:rRNA from 1 species
UACGUAGGGUGCGAGCGUUAAUCGGAAUUACUGGGCGUAAAGCGUGCGCAGGCGGUUCGCUGUGUCCGAUGUGAAAGCCCCGGGCUUAACCUGGGAAUGGCAUUGGAAACUGGCGGGCUUGAGUGUGGCAGAGGGGGGUGGAAUUCCGCGUGUAGCAGUGAAAUGCGUAGAGAUGCGGAGGAACACCGAUGGCGGAAGGCAGCCCCCUGGGCUAACACUGACGCUCAGGCACGAAAGCGUGGGGAGCAAACAGG